rnacentral:piRNA from 1 species
UGGAGCCAUUACCCUGGCUGUUGGGG